rnacentral:lncRNA from 1 species
CCCUCCUGUUCUGUCUUUUGUAGGUUCCCCUAACCAUCAUUUGGCGCCUCCGCUGGUCUCAGUGUCUUGCCUGGAUGUAUGACCCUGACCUUCAUCCCAGAGAGGUCAGCAUCCCCUUUUUGGGUCUUGCCUGCUGUACUUUUCCACGCAACCAACACAGGGCCGGAGAGCAGCAAGAGAAGGCCACGCAGAACCCGAGACCGCACCCUUCCCUGCCCUCCCUGUCGACACCGAGUCUCCCUCCUCCCAGGCCUCGCGGACGCGGGAGCGCGCCCAGAGCGUGUGGACGCUGGGCGGGAGCCGGGAGCUCCUGGACCAGCUCCCGGAGGAGGAACGCGGCCUGGGGUCUGGGCCUCCGCUUGCUGUCGCUUCUGCUGCCGCUGCCGAGCAGGAGCAGGCUGACAGGGAGAAGUGCUUUGCAAGCUGAGGAAUUGCAGCUGCCUCCAGCCCCGCCUGCCCGCGCCCUGAGCCUGGGACAGCUGACUGCGCACCCCGCACACGCUCAGGAUCCUUGUUUGGUGGCUGUCACCAUGGUGAUUGGAGCUGGACUGCCCUGCCCGCGCGGGGUGAGGGGAACCCCAGCCUGA